rnacentral:rRNA from 1 species
GAUGAACGCUGGCGGCGUGCCUAAUACAUGCAAGUCGAGCGAACAGACGAGGAGCUUGCUCCUCUGACGUUAGCGGCGGACGGGUGAGUAAAACGUGGAUAACCUACCUAUAAGACUGGGAUAACUUCGGGAAACCGGAGCUAAUACCGGAUAAUAUAUUGAACCGCAUGGUUCAAUAGUGAAAGACGGUUUUGCUGUCACUUAUAGAUGGAUCCGCGCCGCAUUAGCUAGUUGGUAAGGUAACGGCUUACCAAGGCGACGAUGCGUAGCCGACCUGAGAGCGUGAUCGGCCACACUGGAACUGAGACACGGUCCAGACUCCUACGGGAGGCAGCAGUAGGGAAUCUUACGCAAUGGGCGAAAGCCUGACGGAGCAACGCCGCGUGAGUGAUGAAGGUCUUAGGAUCGUAAAACUCUGUUAUUAGGGAAGAACAAAUGUGUAAGUAACUAUGCACGUCUUGACGGUACCUAAUCAGAAAGCCACGGCUAACUACGUG